rnacentral:misc_RNA from 1 species
UACGGAGGGUGCAAGCGUUGUCCGGAAUCACUGGGUGUAAAGGGUGUGUAGGCGGGACUGUAAGUCAGAGGUGAAAGCCCACGGCUCAACCGUGGAAUGGCCUUUGAUACUGCAGUUCUUGAGUCCUGGAGAGGUCGCUGGAAUUCGUGGUGUAGCGGUGAAAUGCGUAGAUAUCACGAGGAACACCAGAGGCGUAAGCGGGCGACUGGACAGGAACUGACGCUGAGGCACGAAAGCGUGGGGAGCAAACAGG